AUUUACUAUAUUUUUGUUAAUGUUUAUUUUAUUUCAAGUAACGGAAAUAUUUUUUUAUGGCUUUAGUUUCAGUUAACUAUAAUUAAGAUGUGCUAAAGAUACUUUUCAUGUAAAGCAUCACCUUCCUUCAUCUUUAAAAGCCCCUCCACCUCCUGUUCUCUCUCCACAGGUGAGACCCAGGCCAGAGUAUACCAAAAAAAGUACAUCAGCUAUUUCCGUCUGUGGUUUACCACACUAUUGACGUACUUAUCAUACUUACUCAGUUAUCAUGUAGGAGUUAAGAAAGCAGACAUAGGCAUGUACAAACACACACCAGCACAUGUACACAAACACACACACAUACAGAAAAGGUUCGAUGUUCAAAACUGAUCUGCAAGCAAAAAACUUUGCUGAUGUGUGCUUGUAUCAUAACUCCUCAAGAGUUUUCAAGAAAACGUUACAGGUGUACAGCACACACACACACACACAAAAAAUCAACUCUUAGUCAAUCGGAUGUGAUGGAUCACAUGGUCGGAAGAGUCGUUGUCCAGGAAAUGAUGCUUCGUCGGAAUGGAAACUUUAGUGCGGGCCACCACAACAGAGACACCCUGUGAGUGUGUGUAAACAUCAUGAUGCCUUCUCAAAAACCUCACACUGAGUGCGGUCACACACUCACCUCUAAGUUUUCCAUCCACAAGAUGUCAGACCAGUAUUUUAUCACCGGAUGUUUUUCAAGGUCAGGAGUAAAAAAUAGAUACUCUGUCUGUGGUCUGUAUGUCUUUCCAUCUGGCUGUGCACCUGCAGACCUGCGGAGCUGGUCCAGGAGAGUCGUGUGGCCUAUCAGCUGACUUGUGUUUCAGCACAAAAGGAUGGAUUUGGAAUAGCAUACUAUUCUUAAUGUUUCUGACAUGUCUGUAUACAUAUAUAGUGACACCUAGUGGUGUGGAUGUAUAUUCAUUCAAAUGCAAAAGAUUUCCAUUAACAGUGCCAUUUGUAUAAGCUAAAGUCAAAGCUAUGAUUCAGUGUACAAAAGUGUUCACUAACAGACAAGUCACUGGUCAUACGAUCUCAACAUGGUACUCAAUGUAAAAUAAAAAAGCUUUUAUUAAGCUACUGUUUGUGUUCAUUUCAUGUAAAUGCACAUCUUGUUAAAAACAUCACUGAGUGCAUCUUUAAAUUUCUGUAAUACCAUAAGGAAUUAUUCUGAGGACAUGAACACAGUUUUUCAGUAAAAAGAAUAAUCAUUUAUAAACAUGCUAGACUCAAAAAUAGUGUUUUUUUUUAGAUUUAGACUUACAUACUCCUUGUUGAAAGCGCGCGCGCGCACACACACACACACACACACACACACACUCCUGCAGGAAGAGUGGGUGUCUGGGAGCAGCUGCAUGGGAGAGAUGUCGAAUGUGGUUUCCUCCCAAUGAACCUUUCCUCCCUAUGUCUUAUCAGUCGAACAGAAAGGUGAAUAUGCUGUGAAAUGCAACCAGGUUAGUAACAUUUAUCAGUGAGAUCUCUGUCAGAGAAAUAAACAGCUGAAUUUCCACAGGAGAGCUCCUAGAAAGACAAAGACAGAAUCAUUAUUUAUAAUUACAAAUCACAUUUUAGUUGAAUUAAUUCAGGACUAUUAAUAUUCAAAGCUAUUAAUAUUUUUCAUUCAAACUUUAGAUGUCAUUGAAACUGCAACGUGUAUGUAAGGGUAAAGGUCAUGGCUGGGUUUUCCCUGAGAAAAAAGCAUCUGAUGACACUGUUAGGAAGGUCCCUCAUUCACCCAUUUCCAAAUACUCAAUUCACUAAAUUCUACACAACCCCUGCAACUUGAUUAUUAAAUGUUUUAGCUGAUUUGAUAAUGCUUUCUGACCCAUAUGAGUGUAGUACUGCUCUGUUUAACAUAUUUAACCAUGUUAAAUAUGAUAGAAAUAAAGUUGUAGCAAAAAAAUGCUAUAAAACGCCACAUAUUGCAUCUCAGCUAGUUCAUCGGUGACUAAUCAAGAGAUUUUUGUGAUUUUUUCCCCAUGUGUAACUAUGUUUUUUAAGUACAUACAAAAUGAAUGCGUGACACUUUGCAAUAAGGUUUUGUAGGUUAAUGUUCAUUUUUACAUACACUAAUACAGUUUUAUUAUUUCAAGGUGGUUGAUUGUGAUUUUUGCCUCUUAUGUAACUGUUUAUGUGUUUUUUUUUAUAGUGCAUACAGUUAA
ensembl:lncRNA